ensembl:misc_RNA 7SK 7SK RNA
GGAUGUGAGGUCAAUCUGGUAGCACCAUCUGUCACCCCAUUGAUCACCAGGGCUGAUUUGGCUGAUCUACCUGGCUGGAUGAGUGUCCCUUUCCUCCCUCACUGACCCAUGUGAGUCUCUCCCAAAGCUGGGUGCUUGAUGGAAUAGGAAAACCUUCCCUGAAUAGAGGAGAAACCAUCUUAGGUCAAGGGUAUAUGAGUAGCUGUGCUCCCCUGCUAGAACCUUCAAAGAAAAAAACAAAAACUUUUCUAAAUCCAGAAAAACCUCUCAAGGUAUCAUCCAAUUUCCCUGUUCUAUCAUCGCAAUAAAACUUGCAAAAACAGG